ensembl:misc_RNA Metazoa_SRP Metazoan signal recognition particle RNA
GGGCAUGGUGGUAUGUACCUGUAGUCCCAGCUACUCAGGAGUCUAAGGCUGGAAGAUUGCUUGAGCCCAGGAGUUCUGGGCUGUAAUGCACUAGGCUGAUUUGGUGUCCACAAUAUGUCCACAUCAAUGUGGUGAGCUUCUGGGGCAUGGGACCACCAGGUUGUCUAAGGAGGGGUGAACAAUCCCAGGCUGGAAAUGGAGCAGGUCAAAACUUCGGUGCUAAUCAGUAGUGGGAUCACACCUAUGAAUAGCCAUAGCACUCCAGCCUGGACAACAGAGCAAGAUCCCAUCUCUA